UACAGAGGGGGCAAGCGUUGUUCGGAAUUACUGGGCGUAAAGGGCGCGUAGGCGGCCUUCUAAGUCGAACGUGAAAUCCCCGGGCUCAACCCGGGAACUGCGUCCGAUACUGGAAGGCUUGAAUCCGGGAGAGGGAUGUGGAAUUCCAGGUGUAGCGGUGAAAUGCGUAGAUAUCUGGAGGAACACCGGUGGCGAAGGCGAACAUCCUGGACCGGUAUUGACGCUGAGGCGGCGAAAGCCAGGGGAGCAAACGGG
rnacentral:rRNA from 1 species